UAUAUAACAGAUAUCUAUUACUGUAAUUUAUUCCAAUUGCUUGCCAAAUCAACAUUUUUAUUAUUCAUUUGAGUACCGUAUCUGCAAAUGAUUAACCAAUUAGCAAUUUAUUUCGUUGCCAUCUAAGCAACUCAGAAACCAUAGAUUAUCUCCAACCCUCUUUCGCCUUUCUCUUCUCCUUUUCUCAAAAACCUCUCUAUAAAUUUUCUUCAAAAGAUCGAAAAUCAACCUCCUUCUUUCUUCGUUUCAAACCCAGCUAAGAGGGAAAAAAAACUUGCAAUGAAGCCCAAAAGUCAAAUGAUAAAACCCAGUGUUCUUGGUGGUCUGCCACUGUUGCUUUCACCUUUUGCCGCACCUCCAACAAUGCAGCUUCUUAGCCCAAACCCUAUAAGAGAAACUAGAAAACUCUAGAAAAAUUUUAAAAGAAACCCAAAAAAAAAAAAAAACCUUUGCCCAUUUUCUUUCUUUACAAUUUUAUUUUCUUUGUAAUUGCUUGUGUGCACUUAUUUUUACUUUGAUCUUUGAUGUGUUGGCGAUUGUUUGGCUUUGCUUGGAAUUGCUGGGUUUGAUUGGAUUUCUGGAUUUAAUCUUUUUUGACAAGAAAAAAACUAAAAAAAGGAAAAAGAAAAAAGCAAAGCCCGAAGAAUCAUCAUAUUUACCCUCUAUGAUAGUUUCUCUGCUUUUUUUUAUAGCAUUCUUCAAAUUGUUGGAGCUUUGCUGUUGUGUAAUCAUCUACCUCAUUUCUUUGUUCUUUUUACCUUAAAUGAAUAUUCUGAUGUUGAUGUUGUUCUUUUUGUAAGGAUGCGUUUUUUGGGCCAUUUGAUGUGCGAAAUUGAAGGAAACCAUCUGACAAAGGUAGUUGCCAAAUAAAGCGAGAAGAUUUGAGGAGGAAGAGGAAGGCGUUUUUGGAUGGAUAACAUCACAAUCAUUUUAUGUUGGAACUUAAAUCAUGCGGUCAGUUGGUGCACUAAUGAUUCUAGUGUUCUCCCACAAGCAACACAUAAAUGAAGUGGAAGAUAAUAUUAAAAAAAUGUGAAAGAGACUCAAAGCUCAUCAUUUUCCGUUUAUUUCAAAUGAGUGUAUAUAUAAUGGAGAUUGAUAUAUGCAGCCAACUAAGGGUUUUUCUGGUAAAUUAAUCAGCUGAUUUUUUUAAUCAAAGCAAAGUUCGUGAGUUACGAACUUCCUU